GCAGCGCGUGGCCGAAUGGUUACGCUGUCCGCUUUGUAAGCGGAUGAUUCUGGGUUCGAUUCCCAUCUGCUCCA
rnacentral:tRNA from 1 species